UUCGCAGCCCAAAAUAAACCCGUCAAAGUUAUAUUUUUCACCUUACCUGGAGACUGGAACUCAGAACAGCCAGAUGCGAUUCAACUUCUGUGUAAUUGAAGCUCUCCACUUCUUUGAUUCUUCAGUUCCUCAUCAAUUCCGUAACGUUCCAUGUGAACUCUUCACUUCCUCCAACAUCAACAUAUAUUAAGUUACCAGCGUACAUUCCUGCACUCCAGUUCCCCACACCCAGUAAUGAAAACCAAUUGUAUCAAUGGCAAGCAAAAUCACAAAAUCAAGCACCAUAAGCUAUAAGUACUGUGAAAAAACACAAAAUGGAUGGAGCAAUCGUUUCUUCAGAACCUCCACACCAUGUCGUUAUCUUAUCUUGCGAGCACCAUCAAGAAGAGUUUGAGAGAUUUUCAAUUCCUCAAAAAGACGGAGAUCGUCGCGCCAAAACCGAUUGGUUUUCUCUGCAGCUUCAUCCCUCUUCUCGGAGGAAAGGUUUCUCUCCAACCUGACAUUUUCAAAAGACAAGAUACACUCAAAACACCUUCGCGGCUGAAAAUCUCUUAAGGGAAACAAGCCGUCAGUUCUCGACCAUUACUAUGCCGGCUGGUAAGAAAACUUCUCGGAAGAGGAAAUGUCUAAAUGAUGAUGAAUUGAUAAUUCCAAACAAUUAUGAAGGAAAUGACAGAAGACAUAAGUACAUUUGUCACAAAACUGAGAAAGGUUCCUCAUACUGACUAUUAUGAGAGAAGAAUCAAACGUUUUUCCGAUCAAUGGAAAUGUAUAAAACAGACAUGCUUGGAUAUUCCCACAUACAUUUCAAUAAACUACAUAUUAGCGUUUUACUUCUUCUCGGUUUCCUUUGUCUUUCAUGCAAACCUUUUUGUCUGAUUGUCUAAUAGAGGAGAGGCAAGAAGUUGUUACUGAAAAGGUUGUGUGCAACAAGCUCAAGUUCAUCACCAUUGUGAAAUGACUUGAACUGUUUGAUAAAACUCAGCAACGCGUCUAAAAUCCUUCGAAUGAAGUUGGCGCAUCAGUUGUCAAGGUACCUGAAAUAUUCAUUUCCUUCACUGAAGAUGGGAAGAACGUUCAAGCUGGUUGAUGAUCACCUAUGUCCUUGGUUUUUGGCAUGGCAGGUUCAUGGCCGGUUUCAUGUAGACGAGCUAGAAAUCUACUC